rnacentral:rRNA from 1 species
UUGCUAGUAAUGGCAGGUCAGCAUACUGCCGUGAAUACGUUCCCGGGCCUUGUACACACCGCCCGUCACACCAUGAGAGUUGGGAAUACCCGAAGCCUGUGAGCCAACAAACGAGGCAGCAGUCGAAGGUAGAAUCAAUGAUUGGGGUGAAGUCGUAACAAGGUAAC